UAUAAUAAAAUGCAAUAAAAGAGUCUCUGUCAUUUACUUUUCUUUAUUAUCUUCGCUUCACCAGUUUCGCCCUGAAAUCGUGAAAUCAUCUGAAUUAGGGCUUCUUCUUCAUUUUCCCGUUUCCGAUUAAUCGGCGAUUUCGAUUUCAUCACUUUUCAUCUCAGAUUUCAGUUCGCCAUUGAUUAGUCAACAGGCCUCCCGAAUUGUUGAAGGGGAGGGUUUUGAGUAUGGGCGGCGGUGAUACUAGUGCUGCGGCGGCAAAAGAGGAUAACGAGAAUAACGCCACCGGCGAUCAAAAAGUUAUAAUCAAUGUCCGAUGUUCCAACGGCUCCAAAUUUACCGUUCAGGUGGCUCUAGACUCAAGUGUUGGAUCCUUCAAGUCCACCCUUGCUCAGCACUCCGACAUUCCUGCCGAGCAGCAGAGAUUGAUCUAUAAAGGCCGGAUCUUAAAGGACGAGCAAACCCUAACAAGCUACGGUCUUGAGGCAGAUCAUACCGUCCAUUUGGUUCGAGGUUUUGCACCAGCUGCCGCUGUUAAUACUGCAAGUGCAGGCAAUACUGGAAAUCCAAAUGCUAAUCAGAAUGCACCCUCUGAUGCCGCUCCAAAUGUAGGUGGACCAUUUUCUGGAUCGGGCCUUGGUCCUGGUCUUGGAAGUGGAGGCGGUGGCGGUGGUCUAUUUGGAGCUGGCCUUCCGGAUUUCGAGCAGGUCCAGCAGCAGUUGACCCAAAACCCCAAUAUGAUGAGAGACAUGCUGAAUAUGCCUCUCGUUCAGAAUUUAAUGAAUAACCCAGAAAUCAUCCGUAACAUGAUUAUGAACAAUCCUCAAAUGCGAGAGAUCAUGGAUCGUAAUCCAGAGCUUGCUCACGUUCUCAAUGAUCCUGCUACUCUUCGUCAGACAAUGGAGGCUGCACGAAACCCUGAACUUAUGCGUGAGAUGAUGCGUAAUACUGACAGGGCAAUGAGCAAUAUUGAAUCUUCUCCCGAGGGAUUUAACAUGCUGAGGCGCAUGUAUGAAAAUGUCCAAGAGCCUCUCCUAAAUGCAACAACUAUGGGUGGAGAUGCAAGAAGUGAUGUGGGUUCAAACCCGUUCGCAGCUCUUUUGGGGGUUCAGGGUGCGGGGCAAGGCAGAAACCAGUCAACUAAUCCUCCAACUACUGGUUCUGAGGCUACUGCUAACACACCUGCUCCAAAUACUAAUCCACUUCCUAAUCCUUGGGCUUCUGCUGGCACUGGAGCUGGCCAAACUAAUACCACUGCUAGGUCAAACACUGCUGGGGAAACCAGGGCACCACCGCCUGCUGGCUUAGGUGGACUUGCACUCCCAGAUCUUGAGGGAAUGCUGGGUGGCAUGCCAGAUGCUGCUUCACUAAAUCAGAUGAUGCAAAACCCAGCCGUCUCACAGAUGAUGCAGUCUCUCCUCUCAAAUCCUCAAUACAUGAACCAGAUGCUUGGGAUGAAUCCACAGCUAAGGAAUAUGCUUGAUUCCAACUCCCAUCUUCGAGAAAUGAUGCAAAACCCUGAAUUUAUUCGGCAGAUGACUUCCCCUGAGACAAUGCAGUCACUUUACAAUGCAAAAAAAGAUGGUUUAUUGUCUCUAUGAUGUCUUUUUCCCUCUUGCAGACCGGGUCAGAAUGUGGGAGGUGCAGGUAAAUUUUAUGCCCUCGAAUACCUCAAACCCAAACCCCUACUGCAAUGUUACCAGUGGAGUGUGUAGCCCUUGACAACAACAUGGGAAUGGAAAUGCUGAUGAAUAUGUUUGGUGGACUUGGGUCAGGGGGUUUGGGUGGUGUCCCCAACAGAUCCAAUGUGCCUCCGGAGGAAUUAUAUGCCACUCAGCUAGCACAGUUGCAAGAUAUGGGUUUCUUUGACACUCAAGAAAAUAUCAGAGCAUUGGUUGCCACUGCAGGCAAUGUUCAUGCCGCAGUAGAGAGACUUCUUGGAAAUCUUGGACAGUAAUGUUUUAUCAUUCUCUUUCAUAUGACUAGCUUCUGAUGGGGACAAGAUGAAGUCUGUUAAUUUGGACAUGGCAAGCGUCAAAUCUUAAUAGGAAGGAGCAUUAAGUUUUAGUUGGAAAUAUUUGUUUUGGAGUUUAUUUUUGGAAGGACUCUCAACUGUUGUCUUCCAUUUUCUUUUCCCUUGGAGGCAAAAAAAAAAAGGAAAUUGAUGGAAGAACAAGUUGCUUAGUCCCCUGUACAUACGAUGUUAAAAUUGGUCCCAUAAAUUGUUUGGUAUAUUAUAAUUUGUACUUCACUUGUGUCUAGCAUCUCUUUUUUGAUAUGCUAGGCUAAAUGGAUUUGCUUGAUGCUUAGUUAAUUCAGCUGUAGCUGUCUGUAUUCUGCUUG